CAAGAGUCGCCACCAGUGUUAUAUCCCGUGUUUUCGCACAUUUGGAAAAUUUGAAAUAAUUUUGACUUGUAAGAAAUGAGGUCAUAAUUGAUUUUAUUUAGCACAUGAGUUGUUUAUGAAAGAAUAUUAAUGUGGAAGUGUUGAAGAAGGCCAAGGGCAAAAUUGAAAUUUCGAAAAUUAGUUUCGGGAAUUAUAAAACAAGAUUUAUAACCAAUUGAGCUCAAAAAUAAAAAAUAAAAUAAAAAAGAAAAACAAGGCCCAAAUUUGGCAUGGGGUGGCCGGCCAUGGUAGGCCCAAACCCAUGGAAAUUUUCCAUGUGUUAAUUAAUAAAAGGGUGACUAGGUCAUUGAAGCUUCAAGACAUUUCAAGAAAGGGAAUACAAAGCCAAGGAAAGCAAGAAAAAAACAAGGCCAUUCGGCCAUUGCUCAAAUUUUUGCCCCUCAAAAAUCUUGUUCCAAAAAUUGUUUUCUUGUGGUAUUUCUACUAAUUCAAGGACCCUCUACAACGUGGUGUAGUUAUUUCGGAAGAUAGAGCUCUUGGUUCAUCCAUUUAACAAGUGGGUUUAGUGAAGAAGUUUGGAAGAAAAAGAUUUUGAAGAAAACGGGAAUUGAAUUUGGGCUGGCGUAAAUGACGAAAAAGGCUUUACAUAUUCAGUACAAAUUUCGUACUGACCCCCUUUCUUUGGGGGCUGCGUUUUCAUGCCGGGCAGGUUCAGAAGACAUAUUUGCCGAUCCGCCUGCUUAGGACUAUAUUCUGCUAUCUUGGAGUGCUCUAUUGUUCGGAGCCUACGUUUGGUACAGUCUUUUGCCAUUGUACAUAUGUAUGCUAUUCAGGGGUACGACGGGGCCCUGUCCCGUCUUAUGAUUCUGAUGUGUUCUGUAGAGGUCUGUAGACAUACAUGUGGGUUUUGUAUAUAUUUUGGGUUGAUAUGAUCCGUGAUAGCCUUAUCGGCUUCCACGUGCUAUAUCUGUUCAUCUGUGAUAGUUAGUGACGCCAUUGGACUUUUAUAUUUAUAUAUUCUGCUAAUAUGCCGGUUUGGGUUAUGGGGUACGUCCGGGUGUCCAGCACGGACACUAGUUGCGGCCUACGGGGUUGGGUCGUGACAACCAGAUGCCGCCAGCUCAGGUGACUGAAGGCCUUGAUCGUUGAAAAGAAAUGGAGGGAUGUGGGGAUUUUGUGCAAUGUCUUUUACCAGACAUGUCUAUAAAGAUCCUAAUGUUAACUAUAGAAGUUCUCUGUGAGUAGAGGGAUGCGGGGAUUUUGUGCAAUGGCUUUUACCAAACUGAUGGGUUGAGCCAAGGGCUGAGCGAAAUUGGCUGACAUAGAUCAUGCUUUUGGAUUCUAAUUCCGCUAUGUUUAAAUGGAUAUGUAUAUUAUGUUUAAGAGGUUGAAUGUAGUUUUAAUUCGAAUUAGAAGUACUUUUAACUUUAAGAUGUUUAAGUGUUUGAAUGUAGUUUAUGAUGUUUAAGUGUGUGAAUGUAGUUUAUCAUGUUUAAGUGUUUGAAUGUAGUUUUAAUUUUAAGUACUUUGAGGUUGAAUUUGAUUGUUUAUAAGUGUUUGAAUGGACAAUGUUUAAGUGUUCAAGUGUU